UAUGCCAGCAGCUAUCACUCUGCAGCUCUCGCCUGGUCGCCCACUGAAGCUAAGCAGGGCUGAGCCUGGUCAGUACCUGAAUGGGAGACCCUCACUGGGGUGUGAGGCGUGUGGCGUGU
rnacentral:rRNA from 1 species